AACAACCUCCCCUCGAUGAUGUGUUUGACCUCCAGAGAUACUGGCUUAGAGGACCUGGAGAAGAGGAAGCCCACUCCUCCACUGAGGUUGGUGUUGUGGCUCAGCAGGACUUCCCUCCUCCAGUCGGCCUCGUUGGUGCUGUCGCUGUCAGGCACAGCAGCGCAACGGCCCGCGGCCCGCGGAACCGGAAACGGCCUCACGGACGCCGCAGCCACCUCCGCGGCUGGAGACUCCCCCGCAAGCGCCGCGGCCGGAGGCUCCCCCGCCGCAGCCGCGGCCGGAGACCCCCCCGCAAGAGCCGCGGCCGGAGGCUCCCCCGCCGCAGGCGCGGCCGGAGACCCCCCCGCCAAAACCGCGGCCGGAGACCCCCCCGCAAGAACCGCGGCCGGAGACCCCCCCGCCGCAGCCGCGGCCGGGGACCCCCCCGCCAAAACCACGGCCGGAGGAUCCCCCGCCGCAGCCCCGCCAGGCGGA
ensembl:lncRNA